AACGAACGCUGGCGGCAUGCCUAACACAUGCAAGUCGAGCGAACAUUUCGGUGCUAGCCUCGGACGGCUGUGUAACGCGUGGGGACGUUCCCUUUUCUGCGGAAUAGUCCUGGGAAACUGGGGGUAAUACCGCAUACGCCCUCUUGGGGAAAGAUUUAUCGGAGAAGGAUCGUCCCUCGUUGGAUUAGGUAGUUGGUGGGGUAAUGGCCCACCAAGCCGACGAUGCAUAGCUGGUUUGAGAGGAUGAUCAGCCACACUGGGACUGAGACACGGCCCAGACUCCUACGGGAGGCAGCAGUGGGGAAUCUUAGACAAUGGGGGCAACCAUGAUCUAGCCAGGACGGGUGAGUGAUGAAGGCCUUAGGGUUGUAAAGCUCUUUCAGCUGGGCAGAUAAUGACGGUACCAGAAGAAGAAGCCACGGCUAACUACGUG
rnacentral:rRNA from 1 species